rnacentral:tRNA from 1 species
GCGGGUAUGGCGGAAUUGGCAGACGCGCUGGAUUUAGGUUCCAGUGAAGCGAUUCGUGUGGGUUCAAGUCCCACUACCCGUACCA